CGGGAUUAGAUACCCCGGUAGUCCUAGCUGUAUACGAUGGAUGCUGGGUCUGGGGGGUGUAAAUUCCCUCUGUGCCGAAGCAUACGCGUUAAGCAUCCCGCCUGGGGACUACGGCCGCAAGGCUAAAACUCAAACGAAUUGACGGGGGCCCGCACAAGCAGCGGAGCGUGUGGUUUAAUUCGAUGCUACACGAAGAACCUUACCUGGGCUUGACAUACAGGUAGUAGUGAAGUGAAAGCGGAUCGAUCCUUCGGGGAGCCUGUACAGGUGCUGCAUGGCUGUCGUCAGCUCGUGCCGUGAGGUGUCGGGUUAAGUCCCGUAACGAGCGCAACCCUUGCUCUUAGUUAUACGUGUCUAAGAGGACUGCCGGCGGUAAGCCGGAGGACGCUGGGGAUGACGUCAAGUCAGCAUGGCCUUUAUGUCCAGGGCUACACACACGCUACAAUGGCCGGUACAAUGGGUAGCUAAACCGCGAGGUGGAGCCAAUCCUGUAAAGCCGGUCUCAGUUCGAAUUGCAGGCUGCAACUCGCAUGCAUGAAGUCGGAGUUGCUAGUAAUCGCAGGUCAGCAAUCCUGCGCUGAAUACGUUCCCGGGCCUUGUACACACCGCCCGUCACGUCAUGGAAGCUGGCAACACCUGAAGCCGGUGAGCUAACCCGAAAGGGGGGCAACUGUCGAAGGUGAGGCU
rnacentral:rRNA from 1 species